AGGGCGGGACACGUGGUAUCCUGUCUGAAUAUGGGGGGACCAUCCUCCAAGGCUAAAUACUCCUGACUGACCGAUAGUGAACCAGUACCGUGAGGGAAAGGCGAAAAGAACCCCGGCGAGGGGAGUGAAAAAGAACCUGAAACCGUGUACGUACAAGCAGUGGGAGCCUCUUAAUGGGGUGACUGCGUACCUUUUGUAUAAUGGGUCAGCGACUUAUAUUCUGUAGCAAGGUUAACCGAAUAGGGGAGCCGAAGGGAAACCGAGUCUUAACUGGGCGUUAAGUUGCAGGGUAUAGACCCGAAACCCGGUGAUCUAGCCAUGGGCAGGUUGAAGGUUGGGUAACACUAACUGGAGGACCGAACCGACUAAUGUUGAAAAAUUAGCGGAUGACUUGUGGCUGGGGGUGAAAGGCCAAUCAAACCGGGAGAUAGCUGGUUCUCCCCGAAAGCUAUUUAGGUAGCGCCUCGUGAAUUCAUCUCCGGGGGUAGAGCACUGUUUCGGCAAGGGGGUCAUCCCGACUUACCAACCCGAUGCAAACUGCGAAUACCGGAGAAUGUUAUCACGGGAGACACACGGCGGGUGCUAACGUCCGU
rnacentral:rRNA from 1 species